rnacentral:rRNA from 1 species
UAAGGAAUAUUGGACAAUGCCCGCAAGGGUGAUCCAGCCAUGCCGCGUGCAGGAAGACGGCCCUAUGGGUUGUAAACUGCUUUUGUACCGGAGAAAACCUCCCCUCGUGAGGGGAGCUGAUAGUAUGGUAAGAAUAAGCAUCGGCUAACUUCGUGCCAGCAGCCGCGGUAAGACGAAGGAUGCAAGCGUUAUCCGGAUUCAUUGGGUUUAAAGGGAGCGUAGGUGGUCUUAUAAGUCAGUGGUGAAAUCUCGCAGCUUAACUGCGAAAUUGCCAUUGAUACUGUAGGACUUGAGUACAGUUGCCGUUGGCGGAAUAUGACAUGUAGUGGUGAAAUACAUAGAGAUGUCAUAGAACACCGAUUGCGAAGGCAGCUAACGAAACUGUAACUGACACUGAGGC